GUCGAGCGGACAGAUGGGAGCUUGCUCCCUGAUGUUAGCGGCGGACGGGUGAGUAACACGUGGGUAACCUGCCUGUAAGACUGGGAUAACUCCGGGAAACCGGGGCUAAUACCGGAUGGUUGUCUGAACCGCAGGUUCAGACAUAAAAGGUGGCUUCGGCUACCACUUACAGAUGGACCCGCGGCGCAUAGCUAGUUGGUGAGGUAACGGCUCACCAAGGCGACGAUGCGUAGCCGACCUGAGAGGGUGAUCGGCCACACUGGGACUGAGACACGGCCCAGACUCCUACGGGAGGCAGCAGUAGGGAAUCUUCCGCAAUGGACGAAAGUCUGACGGAGCAACGCCGCGUGAGUGAUGAAGGUUUUCGGAUCGUAAAGCUCUGUUGUUAGGGAAGAACAAGUGCCGUUCAAAUAGGGCGGCACCUUGACGGUACCUAACCAGAAAGCCACGGCUAACUACGUGCCAGCAGCCGCGGUAAUACGUAGGUGGCAAGCGUUGUCCGGAAUUAUUGGGCGUAAAGGGCUCGCAGGCGGUUUCUUAAGUCUGAUGUGAAAGCCCCCGGCUCAACCGGGGAGGGUCAUUGGAAACUGGGGAACUUGAGUGCAGAAGAGGAGAGUGGAAUUCCACGUGUAGCGGUGAAAUGCGUAGAGAUGUGGAGGAACACCAGUGGCGAAGGCGACUCUCUGGUCUGUAACUGACGCUGAGGAGCGAAAGCGUGGGGAGCGAACAGGAUUAGAUACCCUGGUAGUCCACGCCGUAAACGAUGAGUGCUAAGUGUUAGGGGGUUUCCGCCCCUUAGUGCUGCAGCUAACGCAUUAAGCACUCCGCCUGGGGAGUACGGUCGCAAGACUGAAACUCAAAGGAAUUGACGGGGGCCCGCACAAGCGGUGGAGCAUGUGGUUUAAUUCGAAGCAACGCGAAGAACCUUACCAGGUCUUGACAUCCUCUGACAAUCCUAGAGAUAGGACGUCCCCUUCGGGGGCAGAGUGACAGGUGGUGCAUGGUUGUCGUCAGCUCGUGUCGUGAGAUGUUGGGUUAAGUCCCGCAACGAGCGCAACCCUUGAUCUUAGUUGCCAGCAUUCAGUUGGGCACUCUAAGGUGACUGCCGGUGACAAACCGGAGGAAGGUGGGGAUGACGUCAAAUCAUCAUGCCCCUUAUGACCUGGGCUACACACGUGCUACAAUGGACAGAAC
rnacentral:rRNA from 1 species